rnacentral:snoRNA from 1 species
GCUAAAAGAUGAAUUGAAAUUAAAAGACAAGCAUAUGUCUGAUUCUAAGGAAGAUACAUUUCAUGUCUGAUAGC